GCAAUGGUGCAAAAUUCGUUGGGGAGAAAAACAGGAAGUGGAGCUGGAGAGCAAGGCUGCAGAAGCACUACCCAGCGGAGACCGUGGCAGCCCCCUUCCACCCGCAGUCUUACAGGAAAGUGGUGAGCGGGCAGCCCCCGCCUGAGCAUGGGAGUGCGGUGGGGAGAAUCCAGAAAGAACCCUUUGCCCAGGAGGGGCUUUUUUUUAGACCAAACAUCACACCUGCAUCCCGCAUUUUACAUCUUUUCUCACCUUUUUUUUUUUUUUUUUUUGGCCGUACGCGGGCCUCUCACUGCUGUGGCCCCUCCCGUUGCGGAGCACAGGCUCCAGACGCGCAGGCUCAGCGGCCAUGGCUCACGGGCCCAGCCGCUCCGCGGCAUGUGGGAUCUUCCCGGACCGGGGCACGAACCCGCGUCCCCUGCAUCGGCAGGCGGACUCCCAACCGCUGCGCCACCAGGGAAGCCCCUUCUCUCACCUUCUGAUAACAACUCCUCAAGGAUGGUAACUUUACCCCAUUUUGCAGGGGCCUCGGCCUCCGGUCCCCAGCCACUCCCAUGUGAGAGGAUGCUGUGAGAAUGGGCUGGUACAGGAGAGUGCUUAGAACAGCGCCUGGCCCUCAGGGAGAGCGCAGUAGACGUUUCUUACCAUCAUCCUCUAUUUACUCCUCACAACAAGCCCCUGAAGUCUCAGCAUUAUGCUCCUGUUUAACAGGUGUCACCGUCGAGGGCCAGGGGGCUACAGGUUUCAUUCACUCAUUCGACACGUUGUCAGAUGCCACCAAACACGGUCCUACGUCCUGAGGAUACAGGGUGAUCAACGAAUGUCCCCACCCUUGAGGACAUUCAAAGGGUGGGCGGUUUGGGGGGAGGGGAGGGGCAGAUGCUACAGGAAAAAACAAUACCUUGCAAGGCAGUAUGCGCUAUGCAGAAGAAAGCAGGGUAUGGGGCCGCCAUCGCCAGACCCCCAGGUGCCCUCCUCACCCUGCUUGGGCUCCAAACCACACAUCAGGAGGCUGCUGCCCUGCCCGGCCUCCCUCGCUCACCGUGGAGCUCCCCAGCCUCUGGGAUUGGGGAGGGGAGGAGUGUGAAGCUGGGGGCACAGCAGGCUGGCUCCCACCUCCCCCUGGCCCAGGCCUCUUGGCUGAAGCUGGUUUGAGCCAGUUUCUUUCACUUUAUCACCUUGAACAUUUCACUGGAACCUUCUAAAUGCAGCUUAUUUUUUUAAAUAGAUUUAUUUAUUUACUUUGGCUGCGUUGGGUCUUCGUUUUUGCGUGCGGGCUUUCUCUAGUUGCGGCGAGCGGGGGCUUCUCUUGUUGCGGAGCAUGGGCUUGUCAUUGCAGUGGCUUCUCUUGUUGCGGAGCACGGGCUCUAGGCGCACGGGCUUCAGUAGUUGGGUCACGCGGGCUCGGUAGUUGUGGCUCGGGGACUCUAGAGCGCAGGCUCAGUAGUUGUGGCACACGGGCUUAGUUGCUCUGCGGCAUGUGGGAUCUUCCCGGACCUGGGCUCGAACCCGUGUCCCCUGCAUUGGCAGGCGGAUUCUUAACCACUGCGCCACCAGGGAAGUCCAUAACUGCAGCUUCUUUCCUCUAACCCGUGUUCCCUCCUGUCCCAGCCAGAUCCUAUUUCCAGAAGACUUCAUUGCUCUACAGGCUAACUAGGCAAAGACAAAGGUCUGGAAAGUUCCAGGGUCCUGAGCGGGAGUGAUCAUAACCAGUGCUUACCAAGUACCAGGCACUGCUCUAAGCAAUCCUCACCCAGUUAACUCACUCAGGUCUCACAAUGGUCCUUCACGCAGCCUCUACUGGGAUUUUCACAGCACAGGGGAAAGGUGGGGGGGGGG